rnacentral:rRNA from 1 species
UAACACAUGCAAGUCGAACGCGAAAGGGUUUCGGCCUGAGUAGAGUGGCGGACGGGUGAGGAAUGCAUCGGAAUCUGCCCCAUGGUGGGGGAUAACCCAGGGAAACUUGGGCUAAUACCGCAUGAUGUCGAGAGACCAAAGCGGGGGAUCGAAAGACCUCGCGCGAUGGGAGGAGCCGAUGUCCGAUUAGCUAGUUGGUGGGGUAAAGGCCUACCAAGGCGACGAUCGGUAGCUGGUCUGAGAGGAUGAUCAGCCACACUGGGACUGAGACACGGCCCAGACUCCUACGGGAGGCAGCAGUGGGGAAUAUUGGACAAUGGGCGAAAGCCUGAUCCAGCAAUGCCGCGUGUGUGAAGAAGGCCUGCGGGUUGUAAAGCACUUUUGUCCGGAACGAAAAGCUCGUGGUUAAUACCCAUGGGUGCUGACGGUACCGGAAGAAUAAGCACCGGCUAACUUCGUGCCAGCAGCCGCGGUAAUACGAAGGGUGCAAGCGUUAAUCGGAAUUACUGGGCGUAAAGCGUGCGUAGGUGGUUGGUUAAGUCUGAUGUGAAAGCCCUGGGCUCAACCUAGGUAUGGCAUCGGAUACUGACUGACUUGGAGUUUGGGAGAGGGUGAUGGAAUUCCCGGUGUAGCGGUGAAAUGCGUAGAG